AUUGGAAUAUUUAGCUUAAAUAGCUAGCCAAAGCACAAAAAGAGGAAAUCCAGCAGACUCGCUUCACCGUGGGCGAAAUGGCGUGGUGCUACAGUACAUUGCUCAUCUGAGCGAGGUAUUUCAGCCUCGCUCCUUCGAUUUCUUCCUCUUUUCCUUCUCUCCUCCCUCGAUUUGUCAUCUCCCGCGCGAAGUUUCAUCGCCGCUCUCGCUUUCCCGCGCGAAGUUUCUUCCUCUUUUCCCUCUAUACUCUAGGGUUGUGGUCCUGUGGAGAUUUUUCAUCAUCCUCAACAUCGACAAGGGAUGGAUGUGAGACCAGAUGCAUAUUUCACAAAUCUCUUAUAGGAUGGUGUGAUCCUUGAAGAUCAUUCUGAGAGGGAGCCUCAAGAUGAAUUUGGAUUUACUUAUGCAAAUCCACAUGCUCAAGUGUUUACCCAAGCAUCUCAAACCCUAACUCAAAAGGGAUCCACUGCUAAGAGAGCGCAACGUGGUGGCAAGUUCACCAUUGAAGAAGACAAAUUGCUUGUAUUGGCAUAUUUGAAUGUUAGUUUUGAUGCCGUGCAAGGAAAUGACCAGAAACUUUAAAACAUACUGGAGAAGAGUAUGGGAUUACUUCCAUGAGCACAUGCCAUUGGCUUAGCGUAAUUAGAGCUCUCUGAUGAAUAGGUGGUCGACCAUUCAACUUUCCGUUAACAAGUUCUGUGGAUGCUUUGCUGGAAUUGAAGCAAAGCAUCAAAGUGGUAUGAAUGAGGAAGACAAGGUCUCUGAAGCAAACAAAUCGUACAAGGAACUCCAUUGAGGCUCAUUUAAAUUUGAGCACUGUUGGAAUAUUUUGAAGUACCAACCAAAGUGGCAUGUCGAUGUUGAGAAGAAAAAAACAAAGAAGAACAAAACAUGGACAAUACCUUCUUCUUCUACUCCUGAGUUGGUAGAUCUUGGAGAAUGUGAUGCCACCUUUGUGGACUU